AUAUAUAUAUCAAACUUCUCUUGUUGAGUGGUUUGGAUGUGGGGGUUUGCUGGCCUCUGUAAAAGGGGUUCAGCUCCUCUGAAAUGCAUUAGCAGAACAACCUGUUCAUUGGUGUGAUAACUAUCUACGCUAUUGAAUGAGAGGGGCAGUUCAGCUCUCUAACAGUCCUUGGACAAUUCAUCAUUA
rnacentral:misc_RNA from 2 species